GACUCGUCACACUAUCAUUAACUGAAUCCAUAGGUUAAUGAGGCGAACCGGGGGAACUGAAACAUCUAAGUACCCCGAGGAAAAGAAAUCAACCGAGAUUCCCCCAGUAGCGGCGAGCGAACGGGGAGGAGCCCAGAGCCUGAAUCAGCAUGUGUGUUAGUGGAAGCGUCUGGAAAGGCGCGCGAUACAGGGUGACAGCCCCGUACACAAAAGCGCAUGUGCUGUGAGCUCGAUGAGUAGGGCGGGACACGUGGUAUCCUGUCUGAAUAUGGGGGGACCAUCCUCCAAGGCUAAAUACUCCUGACUGACCGAUAGUGAACCAGUACCGUGAGGGAAAGGCGAAAAGAACCCCGGCGAGGGGAGUGAAAAAGAACCUGAAACCGUGUACGUACAAGCAGUGGGAGCACCCUUUGGGGUGUGACUGCGUACCUUUUGUAUAAUGGGUCAGCGACUUAUAUUCUGUAGCAAGGUUAACCGAAUAGGGGAGCCGGAGGGAAACCGAGUCUUAAUUGGGCGUUAAGUUGCAGGGUAUAGACCCGAAACCCGGUGAUCUAGCCAUGGGCAGGUUGAAGGUUGGGUAACACUAACUGGAGGACCGAACCGACUAAUGUUGAAAAAUUAGCGGAUGACCUGUGGCUGGGGGUGAAAGGCCAAUCAAACCGGGAGAUAGCUGGUUCUCCCCGAAAGCUAUUUAGGUAGCGCCUCGUGAAUUCAUCUCCGGGGGUAGAGCACUGUUUCGGCUAGGGGGCCAUCCCGGCUUACCAACCCGAUGCAAACUGCGAAUACCGGAGAAUGUUAUCACGGGAGACACACGGCGGGUGCUAACGUCCGUCGUGAAGAGGGAAACAACCCAGACCGCCAGCUAAGGUCCCAAAGUCAUGGUUAAGUGGGAAACGAUGUGGGAAGGCCCAGACAGCCAGGAUGUUGGCUUAGAAGCAGCCAUCAUUUAAAGAAAGCGUAAUAGCUCACUGGUCGAGUCGGCCUGCGCGGAAGAUGUAACGGGGCUAAACCAUGCACCGAAGCUGCGGCAGCGACACUCAGGUGUUGUUGGGUAGGGGAGCGUUCUGUAAGCCUGCGAAGGUGGCCUGUGAGGGUUGCUGGAGGUAUCAGAAGUGCGAAUGCUGACAUAAGUAACGAUAAAGCGGGUGAAAAGCCCGCUCGCCGGAAGACCAAGGGUUCCUGUCCAACGUUAAUCGGGGCAGGGUGAGUCGACCCCUAAGGCGAGGCCGAAAGGCGUAGUCGAUGGGAAACGGGUUAAUAUUCCCGUACUUGGUGUUACUGCGAAGGGGGGACGGAGAAGGCUAUGUUGGCCGGGCGACGGUUGUCCCGGUUUAAGCGUGUAGGUGUGUGUUCCAGGUAAAUCCGGUUCACUUUAACACUGAGGCGUGACGACGAGGCACUACGGUGCUGAAGCAACAAAUGCCCUGCUUCCAGGAAAAGCCUCUAAGCAUCAGGUAACAUCAAAUCGUACCCCAAACCGACACAGGUGGUCAGGUAGAGAAUACCAAGGCGCUUGAGAGAACUCGGGUGAAGGAACUAGGCAAAAUGGUGCCGUAACUUCGGGAGAAGGCACGCUGACACGUAGGUGAAGUGAUUUACUCACGGAGCUGAAGUCAGUCGAAGAUACCAGCUGGCUGCAACUGUUUAUUAAAAACACAGCACUGUGCAAACACGAAAGUGGACGUAUACGGUGUGACGCCUGCCCGGUGCCGGAAGGUUAAUUGAUGGGGUCAGCGCAAGCGAAGCUCCUGAUCGAAGCCCCGGUAAACGGCGGCCGUAACUAUAACGGUCCUAAGGUAGCGAAAUUCCUUGUCGGGUAAGUUCCGACCUGCACGAAUGGCGUAAUGAUGGCCAGGCUGUCUCCACCCGAGACUCAGUGAAAUUGAACUCGCUGUGAAGAUGCAGUGUACCCGCGGCAAGACGGAAAGACCCCGUGAACCUUUACUAUAGCUUGACACUGAACAUUGAGCCUUGAUGUGUAGGAUAGGUGGGAGGCUUUGAAGUGUGGACGCCAGUCUGCAUGGAGCCGACCUUGAAAUACCACCCUUUAAUGUUUGAUGUUCUAACGUGGACCCGUGAUCCGGGUUGCGGACAGUGUCUGGUGGGUAGUUUGACUGGGGCGGUCUCCUCCUAAAGAGUAACGGAGGAGCACGAAGGUUGGCUAAUCCUGGUCGGACAUCAGGAGGUUAGUGCAAUGGCAUAAGCCAGCUUGACUGCGAGCGUGACGGCGCGAGCAGGUGCGAAAGCAGGUCAUAGUGAUCCGGUGGUUCUGAAUGGAAGGGCCAUCGCUCAACGGAUAAAAGGUACUCCGGGGAUAACAGGCUGAUACCGCCCAAGAGUUCAUAUCGACGGCGGUGUUUGGCACCUCGAUGUCGGCUCAUCACAUCCUGGGGCUGAAGUAGGUCCCAAGGGUAUGGCUGUUCGCCAUUUAAAGUGGUACGCGAGCUGGGUUUAGAACGUCGUGAGACAGUUCGGUCCCUAUCUGCCGUGG
rnacentral:rRNA from 1 species